UGGCCGGUGGAAGAUGCGGAGGUGCAAGCGGAGCGGCGGGAGCUCCCCAGGAGCUCCGCAACGCGAGGUUUCGGGCUCGGGGUUUUGCUUCCUCCGGGUCCCCUCUCCAGGGCCGCCGGGCACGGCGAAGACGCCGCGGGGAGGGCGCUCGGGGCCGUGCGCGCUGUGCCCACAAAGGGCAGCAGUCCCGCCGACCGGCGCCUACGCUGCGUGGGGGCGGAGGACUGCUUCUUGGCGCCCCUUGCCAGUCCCCCCGGAGAGUUGGAGACUGUUCUCCGGCCUCGGCCGCGCGGGGAUGAGGCCAGGGGUCGGCGCGGCCGCUCCCGCCGCGGCUCCGUCCCGCGCAGUUGCCGCCGCGGCCGCCCCCGCUGCCCGCGCGCCGGUUCUCGGCCCGCGCCGCUCACUCGCGCGCGCCGCCCCACCCCCGCGUCGCUGCCGCCGCCCGCGCGCCCCGCUCGGCCUCCGCGAGCGCGAUCAGGGCGAGCCGCCGCCGCCGCCGCCGCUGUCCCCGCGCUCGCCCGCCCCGCGCGCUGCCCGCUCCCAGCUCGGAUUGCCUCCCGCCGCCGCCGCCGCCGCCGCCCUCGCCCCCGCCUCCCUCCUCCGCCGAGCCUACCCGCCCGCGUCGUGGCCAAUCGGAGGCCACCAAGCUGCAGCGGUAGCCGGCCGGAUCCGAGGAAGCCGCCCGCCCCCGCCCAGCCGAAGCGCCCCAUUUUUGCUGCAGCCCGCGGGGGGUCGCCGGAGGGAAGCCUGGGGUGCGCGGAGCACAGCCCUGGCAGGUGGAGGGGCUGCGGGAAAGAAAAAAACUUGCGCAGGAACUUGAUUGGGUGGCAGGUUCAUUUUUGGACCGCGAUGGGGAUCGGAUAGAGAUGAGGCUUUGGAGGGGGGAUGACUCCUCCGAAGCCUAACGCACGCUUCUCUUUCCGUUCUGUCAUUCUUUCGAUAUAGACUGUUUUUUGUUGGUUUUUUUUUUUAAAGUCCGGGCAGGGGUAGACACAGCAAACUGGCGACGCAGGCAGGGCGCAUCCUGGCCAUUGUCUGCGGCGCUCGCCACGAGCCACCUGCGGGCCGGGAGGGCGGAGGCCUGGCACCUCUUCCCUUCUUUGCGGAUGUACUGAAACUGCGAAGUUUGGGUGUGCUUGUUUUGUUGUUUUUCCCUGUAGGGGUUUGAGAGUGCGUGUUAUUUUCUUUGAAAUCUCCCGUUUUCUGUUUCUAUUCGUUCGUGACCCUGUUCACAAUUUUUAGCGAGUGGUCUAAGGGACUUUGACUCCCUCCCUAAACCACUGCCAACAACAACAAAAAGUAUAGAACGAAAGAAAAAGGAAGCGGGGAGAAGGAGCUAAAAGCCAGGACUUGCCCUGAAGAAUAGGAUUAUCUAAGAGAUAAAAUGACUGAUUCUGAGUUCGCACCAAGUAAAGGAUUUUUGCUUCUUCCUUGUGAGGCAUAAACUUGGAGUGGAUCACACACACACACAAAAGUGAGAGACUUCACAAGUCUGGGUCACAGGCAUUUGUGGACUGGAGGGAGGGGUGAGGAGCAGUUGGUUUUGGUGAGGUAUUAAGUUUUUGUCAGUAAUUUUUUUUUAAGGUUUUUUAAAGAAAAAUACCUUUUUUUUUUCCCCCUAAGCUUUUCAGCUCUUAGGAAAUCAUCAAACUUCGUUGCAAUUAAUAUACGUUCCUCUUCUGCUUUGGAUAACUGAAGAACUAAGAUUAUUUGAAUUUGAGUUUCAAGAUGCUGAUCAUUUAAGAACUUGAUAAUGAAUCUCUGAAAAUCAAGUACUAAUUUCUUUGACAUAAGUGAUGCAGCUUUUAAUAAUGUACUGUCACUAGCUCGACUUUUAAAAAUUCAGUAUUCAUAGGGAAGUUGAUUCAAUUUUAAUUAAAACAUAAUAUUGUAGGCCUUUUAAAAAUGAAACUCAAUUUUUUUUCCCCUGGAUUUUCUUUCCAAAAGAAGAAGAAAGAAGAAGAAGAAGAAAGAUCAUGUUAAUUAAAUUUAAAGACAAAAGGCUCCACUUGUUCUUUCUCUUCCUUCUUUGCUAGAUAGUAUUGUCACAAUUAUUGCUAAUUGACCUAAAUUUUUUCCAUAUAAUUGGGUAUUUAUGAGUUCCACUUUCAAGGAGUCAUGCAUAAUAGAAAAACAUUUAGCAGCAAUAUUGGGGAUAUCCUUUGUUGUAUUAAAAAAUGGAAUUUAUAGAGCUAUCUCUGUGCCUAAGAAUUAAGCUGUGAUCCCAGACUUGAGGCUUUAGUUACAGUCUCACCACUCCCAGCAAUAGCCACUGAUGUUUAUUGCCAUUCUGAUUAAUUUAAAGGUAGAAGAGAUUUCAGUAUGAAUGACUAUUGCUUAUUAGAAUUAUUUGCUUGAAGUUUUAAAAAUUGUUCCCUUUAUAAAUAAAACUGUUACUGUGACUUCAAAAUCUGCUUUGGAAUGGCCGUCAGUCAACUAAUUCUCUUGACUCCAGUGGUUUUCAAUCAGCCACAUAAGCACUGACAGCAUUUUAUUUUUUAUUUAUACAAAAUUUUAUGUCCAGCUUCCAUGAGUCUCACUCUUCAGUGGUUAUAGAUUGCUUUGGAAUUUUCCCUGAGUUUAGCUUGAUCACAUGCUCUGCUCAAUCUUGCUAGUCAGCCUUUGAUCAGAAGAAGGGAUCACAGAUCAUCUUAUUGGAGAUUGGUGAAUCCAUUUGAUGCUAAUGAAAGUAGAUCCACUAUUUAUUUUGGUGCCCAAGACAAAUGGUACCUCCAUUUUGCCAUUCUAAAGGUAAUCUACUGGGUCAUUCAUUUCUUUGGGCCAGCUCUCAGGAUUUUGGCUUCUGCUGAACGCAAUUCUCGUCUGAAGACUGACUUUCUAUCAUCUUGCACAGCUCCAGGACUGAAGGGGCCUAGGCAGUGACCUAGAGAAACAGCUUGAUUGUGGGGGGAGAGGGGAACACAAGAAAAAUAAUAAUUAAAACUAAGGCUGGGCUCAUACUUGAAAAUCAGCUUAAUCCCUUGAUUUCUGAACUAGGCACUGCUGCUGAUCUACUCCAAGAGGUCUGAAAUGAAUACCUGUGUCAAACAUUAUGGACAGACCGAAUAAAUGACAUCUCCUGCACAUGUAGCAAGUUUUCAUAUGCAUGUAAAUGCCAUGAUGAUUCAUUUUUAAACAUUCAUUUCAAGGAAAAGUCAGAAUGACUUCAUGUUCUGAGUCCAGGUUUCCUAGUUGACUUCAUGAGUUCUGGCUGAAGAUCAGCUGUCUUUGAGAAAAUCUGAUUUGCAUGAUAUUCAAGAAAUCUACCUUCUGCAGCAGCAGCGGCUCACUGGAAAGAUACAACCCCAGUUUUCCUUUUCAACGGUGAAUGCAAAAACAUCAACCAUAGUCCCAUUUAUCACAGAAUUUAUAAUGUAUGUUACUGCGAUUCAUUCUUUACAUAGCUCAAAAGGACCGAGUGAUUAUCACAAAUAAGCGUUAUCUUUCUGGGAGGUCUGUUAUUUUGAGUCAUCCCUGAGAAAGGUUUUUCAAAAACCUUUUUUGCAGGAGAUGGGAAUAUUCUCACUUCUGAAGUUGUUAGGAAGGCCAAUAAUAAACAUGUAUUUGCAUUGCAAAAUGUAUUUAUCCAAGCCAGAUGAAAUUUCAGAUUCUUUGAGGAUACUUAGGCCCCCUGAUAUCACAAGUUGAGGAGUGAGUUCUUUAAGGUGUCUGAUCACCGGGGUUCGGAGGGAAGGGGCCAGCAGAGGCAGAGACAAAUGGACACAAGUGGACAAAUGGACAUCAGAAGAAGGCGGGGACUAAAGAAAACACCCGAGGUUUGUGCUGUCUAGUGAGGAGGGAUUCCCGAGGUUUUGCUCUCUAGUGAGAAGGGAUUCGUAUGUGGAUAGAAUGUGGAGUGUGGCCAAACUACAGGAUAGGGGCGAGGUCAUAAUCUUGGUAAUUGUUCAGUAAACAUUUGCCCGAUUUUUACAGCAAAACAAAACACAGGACUUGGAGUUUGGACAAGAGCGUGAGGAUGGUCUUUUGGCAUCUAGAAUUGAUAGGAAGGGCCACACAGCAGGGCAACUGAUAAGUAACAGUCCAUCCAGUCCUCGCCCAGAAUUUGUACAUCUCUUGAUAAGGGCAAGCCCUCUUCGACAGAAAGUUUCACUCUGAGAUGCUUGCUGGUGAGGAUGUUCUCAAUCUUAAAACUCUAUAGGAUGUUCUCAAUCUUAAAACUCUAUUUAUACUUCAAAAAUUCCCCUCUCGAAGUAUUUUUUAAAGGUAGAAAUGAUGUAAGAUGGCUUUUUGUUUGUAAGUCAAAAAAUAAGCCCCAUCCACUCAUUAAUGAGGUAGUAUAAGCUUUAACUAAGAAGAUAUAUAUUGGCUUCUUUAAAUUUUUUUCUCAUUUUCUAGAAGUGUUCUUUAGAACUUCACAGAUCAGUUAAAUUUCUUAUCUCUCUUACCUUCCCUGUCCGUACAAUUUCUUUCUCUCUCUUUUCCAAAUAUAUUUCCUGGGAGAUGUCUUUAGCUCUGUCUUCUAGCCUCUCUGUUUAAAAGUUGGAUAUAUUUUUUAUUUCCAGAGCUUUUCGUUCUCUUAUGAUUUCCUCCUAGAAACUCGCUCUUAUUUCAUGGAUGUGAGAGCUUCUCUUAUCUCUUUACAUGUUGUUGAAAAGUUGUCUUCUGUUCCCUGGAUUAUCUUGGUUUCCUCUCUGUGGCUUUUCCUGCAGGGGUUAUUGUUGUGUCUGUCUUUGAUGUCAGAGAGACUUGGGGAAAAUGUUCAAUAUGUAGAGUUUAAUUUAAUCCUCCCAGAUAUUGAUAAGCCACCCUACCCUGCCUCAGUUUUUCUUGACUCCUAUGAGUUCAGAGCUUUCUAGUGUCUGCCCCGCAGAAGUGAAUAAAGAGCCUCCCCAGCUGGGACAGGCUCACGCCACACUGCACUGUUAUUGGCUUGACCUGCCUUAUCUCUGCCCAGGUUUAAUCUGUGAUUUGUUUCUCAACCAAAGAAAGAAGGAGCUCUAGGUGAUUUUCUGGAAGCUGGAUGAGUGCUGAUAUUUCCUCCUAGCUAAGUCUGUCAUCUUCCCUUUCCCAAGGAUGAGAUACAUAUCAGUCUCCAGGAAGACUCUUGUCCCCGGCAGCAGCUUAGAAAACUCCCACUGGGACCCAGCCCCUCCUCGGGUUAAUUAAGAGCCCCUUCCCCAUUCUCCAUGUUCUAUGAGAAAUAGUGUCACCUACUAUUAAUAGGUCGGCCCAAAUCACUGUUUUAGUCCCUAUAGUUUUCAAAUUAAAAUAUAUAUGUAUAUAUGCUCUAUCUUCAUCGAGAAGAUCCCCCUGAGGAAAUGGCAACCAGCUCCAGUAUUCUGGCCUGGGAAAUCCCAUGGACAGAGGAGUCUGGUGGGCUACAGUCCACGGGGUCACAAAGAGUCAGACGCAACUGAGCAUGCGCGUGACUCUCUCUCUCUCUCUCUCUCUCUCUCUCUCUCUCUCACACACACACACACACACACACACAGAGUAACUAUCCUCAGCAUAAAUAGUUAUGAAAAGUAUUUUAAGGUUUUACUACCUGCUUUUGAAGCAAUUCAUGGGUGUGCAUUCACCCUCAGGUGUUCACUUGCAUUCUCACUAACCAAAAUAAUGCAGAAUGAAGUACUGUCUAUAUACUUCGUGGUUCCAGUAGACAAUAAUGAAAUACAAAUUUAUAACAUUGGUAAUCCAAACCUGAAAUUUAGAGUAGGUGAGAAAGAAAUAUCUAUUAAAACAUUUAGUACAGUUGUCUUCAACCUUUUUUUUUUUUUUUGGUUUUGUCAUACUAUAUGUGUGGGCUAAAAUGUCCUAGAAAAACUAUCUUUCAUGAGGGGAAGUGUAUCCUAUAAAUGUAUGUGAAUCAGUAGGUACUUUUAACUGUACCUUGCCCCUCAAAUGUCUCAUGUUCCUGGUGGGGACAGUCAUUGUUACUUUCCCCACUAACAUACCUGGUGUUGAGAAUCACUGAUUGAAUUUUAAUUGCUCUUUACUCUCACUUAGUGUAAAUCUUCUAUUUGUUUGAAGUGUUAUGAGGUUGAAUUUCAUCAUCUUGUUAUUCAACAGUGUACCAUCACUUCACUUUAUAGGGAUUUAUAAAGACUUUAGCCACAUGACGAUUUCAAGCUUGGAGCUGAUAAGGAUAUUAGCAUCCAUUGAACAGAUGCACACAAAUCAUUCACCAUUUCCCCAAUUUUUAUUU